rnacentral:rRNA from 1 species
GACGAACGCUGGCGGCGUGCUUAACACAUGCAAGUCGAACGGAAAGGCCCUGCUUGCAGGGUACUCGAGUGGCGAACGGGUGAGUAACACGUGGGUGAUCUGCCCUGCACUUCGGGAUAAGCCUGGGAAACUGGGUCUAAUACCGGAUAGGAGCCAUUUUUAGCGUGAUGGUUGGAAAGUUUUUUCGGUGUAGGAUGAGCUCGCGGCCUAUCAGCUUGUUGGUGGGGUAAUGGCCUACCAAGGCGGCGACGGGUAGCCAGCCUGAGAGGGUGGACGGCCACAUUGGGACUGAGAUCCGGCCCAGACUCCUACGGGAGGCAGCAGUGGGGAAUAUUGCACAAUGGGCGCAAGCCUGAUGCAGCGACGCCGCGUGGGGGAUGACGGCCUUCGGGUUGUAAACUCCUUUCGCUAGGGACGAAGCUUUUUGUGACGGUACCUAGAUAAGAAGCACCGGCUAACUACGUG